rnacentral:tRNA from 1 species
CGGGAUGUGGCGCAGUAUGGUAGCGCACAAGUCUGGGGGACUUGGGGCCGCUGGUUCAAAUCCAGUCAUCCCGACCA